rnacentral:rRNA from 1 species
GGUUAAGCGACUAAGCGUACACGGUGGAUGCCCUGGCAGUCAGAGGCGAUGAAGGACGUGCUAAUCUGCGAUAAGCGUCGGUAAGGUGAUAUGAACCGUUAUAACCGGCGAUUUCCGAAUGGGGAAACCCAGUGUGUUUCGACACACUAUCAUUAACUGAAUCCAUAGGUUAAUGAGGCGAACCGGGGGAACUGAAACAUCUAAGUACCCCGAGGAAAAGAAAUCAACCGAGAUUCCCCCAGUAGCGGCGAGCGAACGGGGAGCAGCCCAGAGCCUGAAUCAGUGUGUGUGUUAGUGGAAGCGUCUGGAAAGGCGCGCGAUACAGGGUGACAGCCCCGUACACAAAAAUGCACAUGCUGUGAGCUCGAUGAGUAGGGCGGGACACGUGGUAUCCUGUCUGAAUAUGGGGGGACCAUCCUCCAAGGCUAAAUACUCCUGACUGACCGAUAGUGAACCAGUACCGUGAGGGAAAGGCGAAAAGAACCCCGGCGAGGGGAGUGAAAAAGAACCUGAAACCGUGUACGUACAAGCAGUGGGAGCACGCUUAGGCGUGUGACUGCGUACCUUUUGUAUAAUGGGUCAGCGACUUAUAUUCUGUAGCAAGGUUAACCGAAUAGGGGAGCCGAAGGGAAACCGAGUCUUAACUGGGCGUUAAGUUGCAGGGUAUAGACCCGAAACCCGGUGAUCUAGCCAUGGGCAGGUUGAAGGUUGGGUAACACUAACUGGAGGACCGAACCGACUAAUGUUGAAAAAUUAGCGGAUGACUUGUGGCUGGGGGUGAAAGGCCAAUCAAACCGGGAGAUAGCUGGUUCUCCCCGAAAGCUAUUUAGGUAGCGCCUCGUGAACUCAUCUCCGGGGGUAGAGCACUGUUUCGGCAAGGGGGUCAUCCCGACUUACCAACCCGAUGCAAACUGCGAAUACCGGAGAAUGUUAUCACGGGAGACACACGGCGGGUGCUAACGUCCGUCGUGAAGAGGGAAACAACCCAGACCGCCAGCUAAGGUCCCAAAGUCAUGGUUAAGUGGGAAACGAUGUGGGAAGGCCCAGACAGCCAGGAUGUUGGCUUAGAAGCAGCCAUCAUUUAAAGAAAGCGUAAUAGCUCACUGGUCGAGUCGGCCUGCGCGGAAGAUGUAACGGGGCUAAACCAUGCACCGAAGCUGCGGCAGCGACGCUUAUGCGUUGUUGGGUAGGGGAGCGUUCUGUAAGCCUGCGAAGGUGUGCUGUGAGGCAUGCUGGAGGUAUCAGAAGUGCGAAUGCUGACAUAAGUAACGAUAAAGCGGGUGAAAAGCCCGCUCGCCGGAAGACCAAGGGUUCCUGUCCAACGUUAAUCGGGGCAGGGUGAGUCGACCCCUAAGGCGAGGCCGAAAGGCGUAGUCGAUGGGAAACAGGUUAAUAUUCCUGUACUUGGUGUUACUGCGAAGGGGGGACGGAGAAGGCUAUGUUGGCCGGGCGACGGUUGUCCCGGUUUAAGCGUGUAGGCUGGUUUUCCAGGCAAAUCCGGAAAAUCAAGGCUGAGGCGUGAUGACGAGGCACUACGGUGCUGAAGCAACAAAUGCCCUGCUUCCAGGAAAAGCCUCUAAGCAUCAGGUAACAUCAAAUCGUACCCCAAACCGACACAGGUGGUCAGGUAGAGAAUACCAAGGCGCUUGAGAGAACUCGGGUGAAGGAACUAGGCAAAAUGGUGCCGUAACUUCGGGAGAAGGCACGCUGAUAUGUAGGUGAAGUCCCUCGCGGAUGGAGCUGAAAUCAGUCGAAGAUACCAGCUGGCUGCAACUGUUUAUUAAAAACACAGCACUGUGCAAACACGAAAGUGGACGUAUACGGUGUGACGCCUGCCCGGUGCCGGAAGGUUAAUUGAUGGGGUCAGCGCAAGCGAAGCUCUUGAUCGAAGCCCCGGUAAACGGCGGCCGUAACUAUAACGGUCCUAAGGUAGCGAAAUUCCUUGUCGGGUAAGUUCCGACCUGCACGAAUGGCGUAAUGAUGGCCAGGCUGUCUCCACCCGAGACUCAGUGAAAUUGAACUCGCUGUGAAGAUGCAGUGUACCCGCGGCAAGACGGAAAGACCCCGUGAACCUUUACUAUAGCUUGACACUGAACAUUGAGCCUUGAUGUGUAGGAUAGGUGGGAGGCUUUGAAGUGUGGACGCCAGUCUGCAUGGAGCCGACCUUGAAAUACCACCCUUUAAUGUUUGAUGUUCUAACGUUGACCCGUAAUCCGGGUUGCGGACAGUGUCUGGUGGGUAGUUUGACUGGGGCGGUCUCCUCCUAAAGAGUAACGGAGGAGCACGAAGGUUGGCUAAUCCUGGUCGGACAUCAGGAGGUUAGUGCAAUGGCAUAAGCCAGCUUGACUGCGAGCGUGACGGCGCGAGCAGGUGCGAAAGCAGGUCAUAGUGAUCCGGUGGUUCUGAAUGGAAGGGCCAUCGCUCAACGGAUAAAAGGUACUCCGGGGAUAACAGGCUGAUACCGCCCAAGAGUUCAUAUCGACGGCGGUGUUUGGCACCUCGAUGUCGGCUCAUCACAUCCUGGGGCUGAAGUAGGUCCCAAGGGUAUGGCUGUUCGCCAUUUAAAGUGGUACGCGAGCUGGGUUUAGAACGUCGUGAGACAGUUCGGUCCCUAUCUGCCGUGGGCGCUGGAGAACUGAGGGGGGCUGCUCCUAGUACGAGAGGACCGGAGUGGACGCAUCACUGGUGUUCGGGUUGUCAUGCCAAUGGCACUGCCCGGUAGCUAAAUGCGGAAGAGAUAAGUGCUGAAAGCAUCUAAGCACGAAACUUGCCCCGAGAUGAGUUCUCCCUGACUCCUUGAGAGUCCUGAAGGAACGUUGAAGACGACGACGUUGAUAGGCCGGGUGUGUAAGCGCAGCGAUGCGUUGAGCUAACCGGUACUAAUGAACCGUGAGGCUUAACCUU